GACGGAAGGUGCAAGCGUUGCUCGGAAUCACUGGGCGUAAAGGGUGCGUAGGCGGCUUGGGUGGGUCUGGUGUGAAAGCCCCGGGUCAGCCCGGGAAAGGGCACUAGAAACUGCCGAGCUGGAGUGCCGGAGGGGAGAGUGGAAUUCCUGGUGUAGCGGUGAAAUGCGUAGAUAAUCAGGAGGAAUACCGGUGGCGAAAGCGACUCUC
rnacentral:rRNA from 1 species